rnacentral:rRNA from 1 species
CGGUAAUUCCAGCUCCAAUAGCGUAUACUAAAGUUGUUGCAGUUAAAAAGCUCGUAGUUGGAUUUCUGCGGGGACGGAGCGGCCGGACGCAACUUGCGUCUCGAGCUAGCGCUUUCCCCGCAUCCUGCCGCGAACCGUGCUACCAUUAGCUUGGUGGCGCUGGGGAUCGGCUCGAUUACUUUGAGAAAAAUAGAGUGUUCAAAGCAGGCCACACGCCUUGAAUAAGUUAGCAUGGAAUAAUGACUAAGGACUUCGGUUCUAUUUUGUUGGUGUUCGGGACUGAAGUAAUGAUUGAUAGGGACAGUUGGGGCGGUCUGUAUUCCAAAGCGAGAGGUGAAAUUCUUAGACCUUCGGAAGACAAACAGCUGCGAAAGCGUUCCGCAAGGAUGUUCCCUUUGAUCAAGAACGAAAGUUGGGGGAUCGAAGACGAUCAGAUACCGUCGUAGUCUCAACUAUAAACUAUACCAGCUAGGGAUCGGUCAACGUUUAAUCAUUCGACUUGAUCGGCACCUUAUGAGAAAUCAAAGCAUCUGGGUUCCGGGGGGAGUAUGGUCGCAAGGCUGAAACUUAAAGGAAUUGACGGAAGGGCACCACCAGCCGUGGAGCCUGUGGCUUAAUUUGACUCAACACGGGAAAACUUACCAGGUCCAGACAUAGUAAGGGUUGACAGAUUGAUAGCUCUUUCUUGAUUCUGUGGGUGGUGGUGCAUGGCCGUUCUUAGUUGGUGGAGUGAUUUGUCUGGUUAAUUCCGUUAACGAACGAGACCCCAGCCUGCUAAAUAGCGCGGCUGAGCUUUGCUCGGUGCGAGCUUCUUAGAGGGACUAUGAUGCGCGAUAGCACAUGGAAGUUUGGGGCAAUACCAGGUCUGUGAUGCCCUUAGAUGUUCUGGUCCGCACACGGGCUACACUGGCGCCUGCAACGAGCAUAUCAGCUGGCCCGAGAGGGUCUUGGCUAAUCUUUUGAACCGGCGCCGUGCUUGGGAUUGACCAUUGCAAUUGUUGGUCAUGCAACGAGGAAUGCCUUGUAAACGCGAGUCAUCAGCUCGCAUUGAAUACGUCCCUGCCCUUUGUACACACCGCCCGUCGCUCCUACCGAUGAAUGUUCCGAUGAAAUUUUCGGAGAGCGCCAGAGAACGGGGCUCCGCCUUGCAGAUCUGGAGGCUCAAAGUCACUUAAAUCUGAACAUUUCGAGGAAGGAGAAGUCGUAACAAGGUAACC